GUAUUGAUAUUUUCUUGGGUUUGUUGAGAAUAAGACAAAAAUAAAGCCUUGUCCUUAAUGUAAAACCUUUUUGAUUUAAUGUAAUUAUUUUCCCCAGAAGCUGUGCUUGUGUGCAUUAUUAGUACUAUGUCUUAAACUCAAAAUUUAAAGGCAAAUUUCGCAUCACUCAGCUUAUCCCAGCUAAUAUAGGUUUACAUUUUACAUCAAAGCAGGACUUCUUUAGGGCAUGCUUGUUGCCACACAAAGCCUUCUCCUUACAAUGAACCUAACAUCAGAACAGACUGGAAGGAGAGAUGCUGUAAAAGAUCUAAAAACAAACUCCCUGCAUGCUUAUUUUGCUCUUGUUUUCCUGCAGCACACCAGUUUUUCAUUUUGGGAAGUGAUGGAGAGAUGGAGCGAGGAGAGGAAGGCAGGAUAGAGAUCAACUAAGACGAAUGAUGAAGGUCAAGGUGAAACGCUUAGCCAACCUCCGUGUUUUUGUCUCCCAAGGCCUCGUAGAUCGUUGUGAAGUUUGAAGAUGAGCCUUAAAAAUGUGGGGCCCUUCACCCCUUCACCCCUCGCUCUCUUGUUCCUUCUUUCCCACUGGGAUGACAGCCAUGUGCUUUGGAGGCCCUCACGGACGAAACCACACAGUGAAGCUGUAGCAGGGGGUAGAAAAAGAAGAAGAAGGCGGCUCCAGAAAAAGCUAUGCCAGUGCUCCUGGCCAAGACACCGGCCAGAAACCAAACUGGAUGUGGUGAAACUGUCAAAUUACUUAAGGAAACUGCAGCAAAACCUCAAGAGGCAAAAAACAGAGAGGGAGAGGAGUUCUUCAGUGUGUUGUGAAACAAGCAAAGCAAAUUUUAUUUCGAAAAUAAUUUUAAGUUAUUAGUUAAAAGCUGUCAAAGAGGAUACCUGGUUGUUGCACAGCUGCUUUUCAAGCGCCCUGCCACUGGUUGGUCUGACAGCAGAGAUGCAGGCCUUUGCUGAUGACCAUGAACCACAACGUUUAAGUCAAAGCCAGCAGGGGUUCUUUGUUGGAUGCAUUCCUUAUAUCUCUGUUGCCUCAUUUCCUGUAAGCUCCUAAAUACAAUUCCCCAAAAUACUUUAAAAAUAAUUGACCACAGCAUUUUUGACCACAGAAAACAAAACAAAGCAAAAAAGAUGCUUCCUGAAGAUGAGAGAUUUGAAUCGAAGGGGCUUUCUGUGCAUUUUCCUUGAAUUCUAUUCUAAGAUCCAAAUCCAGCCACCGUGAGCUCUUAAGUAAUGUAAAAACGGAAUACGUGACUUCUACAACCAUUCGUCCACAUUAGUGGGACGAAAACAAUAAAGUUGUCUAGAUUUUACUGUGAAACCAAUGAAAACUGUCUUAUUGAAAGAGUAAACCUUGUAAAUCUUUUGAGGAGGAAACACAAGACCACAUCCAUUUGCAGUCCCGGUUUUCAGAUUAUAAUUAUAUAAUGCAGAUUUGAUUUUGAAAGAAACAUAAUUAAUGAGUCUGUUUAUUGGCAGCAUUUCUCUGAAUGCACUCUAAUGCUAUGUUUUUACACCGCAUAGUAGUCGCAGGGAGUUGCCUAGCCUAGAUGGAGAGCGUACAAAGACCUUUCAGAUGUACUUUGGUUAAAGUUAGCGACGAUGAGGGUUUCCACUACUCAUUAAAAAUAACUUUUAUGCCAUGUGCUCUAGACUUCUUAGUGUUUAUCCAGGUCAGCGUUUACCUAAACCUCGGUUCCUAUGAAAUCAUCCUAAAACAUUUCAUUUAAAAAACAGGGUUGUGAAACUGUGGAUUCUUAAUAAUUUCACAAUACCGAUCACUGAUCAUUUGUUCACAGGCUCACAAAAAUCAAUUCCCCUUACUGCUCCACACUGCAGUACAACAUCUCCUAAUGUUAGGUAAAAUGUGAAGUGGUGUUUCUUUCACUUACAGCUGUCAGUGGCAUCAUCUUCCUCCGGCUUCCUGCUGCUUGUUAGGUCCCUUCACAACAUACUCUUCUUACUCUCAUAGUGCUGCAGCUUGUUUGUUUUUAAUGUUCACUUCUGGAAACUGUACUAAAAAAAUAGAAAAAAAGAAAAAGGUCUUAAGAUCUCAUUUGUAUAACCUGAGGUGGAGCACUCGGC
ensembl:lncRNA